UUUUAAAAAAAUAAAAUUAAUUUAAUGCGCGGAAAAUUUUCUCUAAAAUUUCUCCCCAUCCUCGCAAUCUCACCUUAAAAUCCUCUAAGAAUUGCUGUCAGCCAUGGCUGCUGCUUGCUCAAACAAGAUCAUAGUCGUGUUCUGGCACGAGGGCAUGCUAAACCAUGAAACUGGAAAGGGAGUUUUUGACUCAGGAACUGAUCCUGGGUUCCUAGACGUGUUAGAGAAGCACCCAGAGAACUCAGACAGGAUCAAGAACAUGGUUUCUAUACUUCAGAAAGGUCCCAUCUCUCCAUACAUUUCUUGGCAACAUGGCAGACCUGCUCAAGUCCCUGAAUUGCUCUCUUUUCACGCCCCAGAGUACAUAGAUGAACUAGUUGAAGCAGGUAAACAAGGAGGGAAGAUGAUUUGUGCCGGAACUUUCUUAAAUCCUGGCUCAUGGGAUGCUGCACUUCUUGCUGCUGGCACUACACUAUCAGCAAUGAAGCAUAUUCUUGACGGGCAUGGAAAGCUUGCUUAUGCAUUGGUUAGGCCGCCUGGUCACCAUGCUCAACCUAAACAAGCAGAUGGGUAUUGCUUCCUUAACAAUGCUGGUCUUGCGGUUCAAUUGGCCUUAGAUUCAGGGUGCAAAAAAGUUACGGUUAUUGACAUUGAUGUUCAUUAUGGAAAUGGAACAGCGGAGGGAUUCUAUCGGACAGAUAAAGUACUUACCGUAUCCCUUCAUAUGAACCAUGGUUCAUGGGGUCCAUCUCACCCACAGAAUGGAUCUGUUGGUGAGCUAGGUGAAGGAGAGGGUUUUGGCUACAAUUUGAACAUACCUCUUCCUAAUGGGACAGGCGAUAGGGGAUAUGGGUAUGCCAUGAAGGAGUUAGUUGUCCCAGCUGUUCACAAAUUUGAACCUGAUAUGAUAGUUUUUGUUGUUGGCCAAGAUUCAAGUGCUUUUGAUCCAAAUGGAAGGCAAUGCUUGACAAUGGAUGGCUAUAGAGAGAUUGGACGGAUAGUUCAUAGUCUGGCAAAUAAACACAGUGGUGGGAAGAUUCUUAUCGUCCAAGAAGGAGGAUACCACAUCACGUACUCAGCUUACUGUCUUCAUGCAAUACUUGAAGGUGUGCUUGACCUUCCCCAGCCUCUGUUAUGUGAUCCCAUUGCAUAUUACCCAGAGGAUGAGGCUUUUGCUGUGAAAUUUGUUGAAGCCACCAGAAAUUACCAUAAAGAAAUGGUUCCGUUUUUGAAAGGAACAUGAUUAGAAGGUCACUGCAGCAAGGUGGAGGAUUGACAUCAAAUUUUACCAACUAUUCAAGCUGAUGAGAAGCUCCCGUUCCGUGGUGGACGUCAAGGAUUUGGAAAAUGGACUGUCAAUAUAGGUGAAGGAUGAUGUUGAUCAUAUAAAACCAUCGUUUGUGCCAAGAAACUUGCGCUUCCACAUCAAUGAACAGUAAUUCAGAAUACAAAUCUUACUGCAACUCCACUGGCUUUGACGGAAAUUUUCUUGGAGAUUUCCAUUUCUGCUCAUGAUCUGACGUCCACCAUUUAUAUGAAGUCAUUAAGGGCAUUUAUUGUAGUUCUAGUAUGUGAUCUGGUUUGCGUGGGAUUUAUCAGGAAUCCCUCUUCAAGGGAAAAAGAACUGGUUUCUACUAACAUUAGAAUGAAUCUGCAUUUUGUAUCUCUGAUUCCAUACUAAUUGAGACAUCCUUUCUUCAUCAAGAAAGGUCAGCCCCCCUUUGGAACAUCCUGGUUAUCCUUUCCUGUCAAAUGCAUCUGAACAUUUAUUAUUUUUUUGAUAGCUUAGGAUAUUUGAUUUGCAUGUGCAUGCACAAACAAAAGUUUACUGCUCCACCAGUUAUCUAAUGACCAAACUGAUGUUUUCCUAGAAGAAGUGUCAUUUCUGGUUUUUCC